AUGUUUUGGAUCUCCUGCUUCCCCUCAAAACUGAAAACUAGAUAUUUUUUUGGAACCCUAGCUUCUUCUUCAGCCACUCGCAUAAUCUGCCACCGCUUCCACCGACGACGGCAAAUUUAGUGAAUGGUGACGGUGGUGAUAAAAACCAGGGUUCCGGCUGAACCUUACAUUUUCUCUACAAGCCGAUUAACUUCUUCAGAUGAGUCUCUUGAAAUUUUUGAAUUUGUGCUCUUUUAACUUGUUGAUUCUGUGUUUGUAUCUAACUAUUUGUGUCGUUCUUUCAACAAUAGAUGUGUUGUGCCUGUCUACUUUUUGACACUAUAUUAGGAUUAAACUGGCUUUUAAUUUUGCCAUUCAUACAGGAAACAGGUUUUCAGAUUCUGAAUAAACAGAAUUGUUAAGUCUCAUGAGGCAAAGUAUCUCCCAAAGCAAUGCAUCAAAUGGCCAAGUAAUCGGCACCAGACAAACACCACAUUUAACCAAGGUGAGGAACAUGAGACGUUAAAGAAAAAGUAUCAAGAAGAAUGUCAAAUGUUAAAGAAAACCAAGAGGCUGUUUUUGCAGUGUCAGUGCUUCAUGGAUUCAAUAUGUGUAUCUUUGCAUAUGGGCAAACUGGAACCGGAAAGACGUUUACAAUGGAAGGAACUGCUGGGAGUUAACUACCGCACUUUGAAAGAGUUAUUCAGGGUAUCUAAGGAAAGGAGUGAUAUUAUGAAAUACCAACUAUUUGUAAGCAUGUUGGAGGUCUACAAUGAGAAGAUAAAAGACCUCUUAGUUGAAGAUACUGACCAUCCUGCUAAAAAUUACGAUUGCUAGGGUUUUAGGUCUCAAUUGGUGUGAAGCGAUUGAGGCUGCUCAGAGGUCUCGUAGAUCGACGCGAUGGAAGCACAAUUUAAGGGGUAGUUUGGGUUGGGACAGGUCAAAAAGGCUACACAAUCAGUGUAAUGGGAUGUUCUCAAGCUGGUACAACUACUGCAGAAGGUCCGAGACAUUGCAGCGUCAUUGUGGUUCUAUAGGGGAGUUAUACAGGAAUGUUAAGUUGAUGGUUCUGGGUCUCGGUUUGUCUGUUAGAUGUCACUGGACAACUGAGAGCUGGUGGCAUCAAGCUAGCAUUUUUCCUCAGCGUAAAAGAUUCUAUUUUGUUGGAACAUUACUGAAGUGGGAUAUUCGUGAAAAUGGCUUGACUAUUGCGUAUUUAUUGCUGCUGAGGACCGGUUUCAUGCUGAUGUUCAGCAUCUGGAGCUGGUGCAGAUGGGUGUAUGAUGAGCAUCGGAGCUGGGCCUUAUAUCUAUUCAUGAAGGCCCACAAAAGGAAACUCUGGCCUGCUGUGUUUUCCGAGGCCCAAUUGACUUCCCAAAUCACUGGUUCAAUGCUGGUUAUGAAGGCGCAAACUGGCGAGUUUAGGAUGCAAUGGAAGGCCCGAACCUGGGUUCAAACGAUGCAAAGUAAGGCCCAAGCGGGAUCCUCCUGGUGUUUCGUGAAGGCCCAUACUUGGGUAAAAACAUUACAACACAAGCUGCCAUAAAAUAUCGGAUUUGCAUUAAUUUGGGUAAUAUUUUCAUGUGUUAAAUUGGGUGGGUUGGGAUUUUUCAAAACAUUUGUUUUAAUAAGAAGUUAAUUGGUUAAUUGAGAUUGCAAAAAAGUAUAGUGCUAUGAAGAGUAUCUAGAUACUUGAAUUGAAUGAUAUAGGAGGUGAUAUGAAUAAGACUUUGGACGCCUUUGAAUGCAUUUGACCCAUUAGAUGUGUU